UACGUAGGCAGCAAGCGUUGUUCGGAGUUACUGGGCGUAAAGGGUGUGUAGGCGGGCUUUUAAGUCAGUGGUGAAAUCUCCGGGCUCAACCUGGAAACUGCCAUUGAUACUAUUAGUCUUGAAUUUUGUUGAGGUAGGCGGAAUAAGUCAUGUAGCGGUGAAAUGCAUAGAUAUGACUUAGAACACCAAUUGCGAAGGCAGCUUGCUAAACAAAUAUUGACGCUGAGGCACGAAAGCGUGGGGAUCAAACAGG
rnacentral:rRNA from 1 species